UGAUUAGAUACAAGCAAUAAAGAAUUUAGUAUGAAAAAUUAAUUUAACUUUUUUUUUUGGCGGCUAUGAAAAUUUAAUUAAAAAUGCCUUUUCAUAUUGGAUUGCCUUUAUCGGUGGUUUGAGUGGCUUAUGCUCUAGGCCGUCCUUGAAGAAGCAGAAGCGUUUCUCCAGCACCGGUGUCUCAGAACCGGCGGUUGUGCUGGCCGCAGCCACCAGAACAAGAUCAGCACGAUAAGAGUACAUGCCAAGAAACUGAAGAUGUCCCUUGUGAUGUUCUUGAUCAGAAGAAGGAGGACGAAGAACUUGAUGUUUCUGAUAAAUCUAGCGGCUCUAAACAUUCAGGUCAAGGAAGGGGAUAGUUCGCAUUUCCCAUGUGAGUUUAAACAGCAACAAAAGGUUGAGUUGAUGGGGAACUAAGGAGCCCUGUCCAGAUGCCUAAAUCAGAUGACCUAUCACCCAAGAAUCAAAAGCCGAUUGCGUUAGGGUUCCAGUGCUGUAGAUUCUGAAAACGUCAACACUUUAGGGUUACUCUGUUUCAGAGUAAAAGAAACACUCUCAACGGACAUAAUCUACAAUGUGGAUAUAGACAAGAAGUGAAAAGAAGAACCGAUUUCUUCAUGUCUUAAUGGUUUAAAAAAACAAAAAAAAAAUAUGUUUCUUGAUGACUUGAGCUAAAAGUUGAACGUAUUUUAGAGCCAAAGAUAAUAAGGUAACAGCUUCAACUUAUACACUUGCUUCUUACUAUUUCUCUCA